CCUACGGGUGGCAGCAGUGAGGAAUAUUGGUCAAUGGACGAGAGUCUGAACCAGCUAAGCAGCGUGAAGGAUGACUGCCCUAUGGGUUGUAAACUUCUUUUAUAAAGGAAUAAAACGAGGCACGUGUGCCUUUUUGCAUGUACUUUACGCAUAAGGAUCGGCCAACCCCGGGCCAGCAGCCGCGGUAAUACGGAGGGUCCGAGCGUUAGCCGGAUUUAUUGGGUUUAAGGGGAGCGUAGAUGGGUGGUUAAGUCAGUGGUGAAAGUUUGGGGCUCAACCGUACAAGUGCAAUUGAUACUGGCAGGCUUGAGUACGGUAGAGGUGGGCGGAAUUCGAGGUGUAGCGGUGAAAUGCGUAGAU
rnacentral:rRNA from 1 species